rnacentral:tmRNA from 1 species
GGGGAUGUUCUGGUUUUGACAGCAUUGAUUUUGGUCGGUAAGCACGUCGGGCGUAGGAGGCUGGCCCGUUAAUCCCAGUCUUCAAGCCAUAACUGGCAACUACAACUACUCAUACGCUUGCUAGUCCCCAAGAGACUGAGCAUCAAUCGGCGCCGCCAAGGUUGCGGCUCUGACGUAUAUCCCUCCAGCUUUAGGCCGGUUCAGUCUGGGUAAAGGGGUAUCAUCAAAACCGGAUGCGGGAGAUGGACGCCUCUAAGUCUCCUCAAGUUUCCAGAGGAUAAGCCGCGGCUGGCCCGUCUUCCGGCAGGCCACGGUCGAAAACCAAAGGAGGAAUAAGCGUGUAGAAAGCCCAUCGGGACGAUGUUUGGACGGCGGUUCGACUCCGCCCAUCUCCACU